rnacentral:lncRNA from 1 species
CCAGAAUACAAGGUAAGAGAAUCACUAGACUUCUACAGCUGUUGGUUGGAUGAAAUGUCACUAAAAUUAUAAACUGAAAAUUUUAUGGGAAUUGAGGGAAAAGCAAACGUCCUCUUUGUCAAUAUGGUAUAUAACGGAUAUAUUUUAGUGUUGGACCACCAUUUGAGUUAUUUAUACGGUGCAUUUUGCGAUACAUUUGUGUGGUGUUAUGAAUGUGAAACACAUUGUUUCUUACUGUUUGAGAUGUUAGUCAAGUUAGGCAAGAAAAGUUGUUUGGGUUGUUUCUUUUCUCCUUUCAGCAGUAUAUAAUGAGUCAUUUUAUGUUUUUACCACUUUCUAAACCUUGUAAUAUACUUUUUCUUUUUGCUUGAUGCAUCUUUGUUGAAGUUUUUGUGAUUCUGCAUCCAUGGGAAAUGGUUUGUUAGAGAAGGUGGGUUUGACAGGGUACAUAUUGAGAGGUAGGAAACCGAUUGCAAAAUGAUUCAGAACCCAAGAAUCUAUAUCAGUUGUUGUUUACUUUACAAAAUUGAAUAAACUAUGGGAUAAACUUGGUGCUUUAAAGCAUCAUCUAACUAUUUGUGAAUGUGGUGCUUCUGAAGUAUAGCUUGAGAGAGAAAGAGAGAAUGAGAAUAAACUGAUGGCAAUUUUUAAUGAGUUGUUUGACCAUAUAAGAAAUCAAAUCUUGAUUUUGGAUCUGUUACCAACACUCAAUAAAGUCUAUAAAUCUAUAUGCAGCCACUGAGUGUGUUAAUGGACAAGCAACUGCAAUUGGUCCUACUAGCGAUUGGAAUGCUAAUUUAGCUUCAGCAAUUUAACAGGACUUUUUGUCCAAAUGUAUUUAUGAACAAGUUUAUAAAAGGCAGGUUAGCUCUAUAUAUAACACAAGUAUAAUCUUGCAAUAUACUUCAUAAAAUUUUCUUUGAGCUGUUAUUUACACUCCACCUGCAGUAGGUAUCAAGUCUUAAAUUAGUUAGAUAUUCAAUAAAAAGACAUUAUUCUCUACAUAAUAUGCUUCUUAAAACAAAAUUUGAUUCAAUUUAUUUUAACACCAUAAUUCUUUAUUUUUCUCUUUUUCCUUUCUUUUUUAUUAUUUUCUCUCAUUUUGUACCAUUUACUCUUUUUUUUUUUUUAAUUUUCAUUUUCUAUUUAUUUCUAAUAAAUAUUGGAUAUAAAUUAAAAAUUUAGUAACAAUAAUAAUAUAAUUUUAAGUCUUAUUAAAUUAAUAAAAAAAUAUUUAAAUUGUCAAUAGAUUUACUAAUGGAUUGCAAUUUGUUGAUAAUUUAUUGAUGGAUUUCACAUUUGUUAAUAAAUUAUUUUUCUUUUAUACUAACAGAUUUAAAAUUUGUUAGUAAUUUAAAAUCUGUUGGUAAUAAUAACAAAAUUUUAUUAGUAAAUUCAUUAAUAUUACUAACAAUUUAAAAGUCGUUGGUAAAAAUUAAUCACCGAGUUUUUUAACAACAGAUCGUAAUCUGUUAAUAAUUCAUUGUUAAUUCAUUUAUCAAUGGAUUUUUAUUGAAUUGCCAAUGGAAAUGGAAAAAUCACUGCACUAUCAAUACAAAUUAAGAAGUUGUUGAUUCUUAUCUUUACAAUAAGAUAUCUUUUAAACUCUUAAGACUUUAAAGCUAAAAUUGAAGAAAUAUUCAUGAUGUUGUAUUUUACUGUUAUAACACUUUGGAAUGAUGUCUAUUAUUGGAAUGCAUAUGAUUGUUUUACUGAUAUAAAAUAAGUACAAAGAAUAUAUAGUUAAAAAAAUAAUUAUAGUUAGCGAUCCAUUUGUAUUAUUUAAUUUUACUAUCCGUUUAUAAAUUCAUUUGUAUUCAUUUAAUUUUAAUUUUAUAUCGAUAAAUUAUAAGAGAUGAAGAGUUCUCCUUUCCUAUAAAAUGAGAAGCCCUUUCCUAUAAAAUGAGAAGUCCUUUGUACGAGAUUUUUAUCAUAUUAUGAUAUUCUUAUAUGGGGUUACGAGGAAAUUUAAAUAUUUUAAUUUAAAAUAUUUUAUUUUAAAUUAUUUCUAAGUUCUAACUAAUAAUCGAACUUGAAUACAAGCUCACAACGAGCCACGCUCGAAUCAAGUUCAAGUUUGUUAAAUAUUUCACAAAUUAAAUUUGAACUUUAAAUUUUUUUAAUAACAAGUUUGAACUUUAGAAAUGUUGGCUCGACUUGUUUGUAUCAUUAAUAGAUUUAUAAAUAGAUCAGUUAUUUGUAUUAUUAAUGGAUUUAUAAAUAGAUAAAUCAUUUGUGAAUCCAUUAAUAGAUGAAUUAUUUGUAUCAUUAAUGGAUUUAUAAAUAGAUAAAUCAUUUGAAUUACAAAUAGAUUAAUGGUUUGUAUCACAAAUGAAUUUAUAAAGUUUGUAUUAUAAAUGAAUUUACAAAUAGAUUAUCUAUUUAAAUGUGAAAUUUCAUUUGUAAAUGCUAGAGAAUAUGCAAAUGAAAAAUAAAUUUAUUUAUAUUAUAAAUGAUUAUUCUGUUGUGAAUCCAUUUAUAACAUAAACGAAUUAUUUUUUAUUUGAAAAAAAUUAUAAAUAAUAUUUACACAAAUAGAAAAAAAUCUAUUUAUGAUUCAUUUAUAAAUUUAAUUUUUUUUAUUGUGAUAGAGGUUUAGUAGGUUGUAGAGAGUAGAGCUCACAGCAGUCUCACUCUCCUAUAGCCAUUCGAAGAUUGGAGUCAUAUCAGUGGCGUUAAUAGCAUUAUGAUAUGUCACUUCCCUAUAAAACUUGAACCCAUCCUAAAAAAAGAAUACAUGCAAGCAAACCACAGCCCCCGGAAGAGUGAUAUCACAUCUAUGAGUUGGCCUAAAGCAAGACUGAUUUUUAAAAUACUCUCACCAUGAAGCUCCAAAUCUAGAACUACAAAAGCAAAAAUAGAAAAACACAAUAUUUUCACCCCAGCCCUAGAGACAAGGAGAGUAAACCCAGCAAAAAUAGAAAAACACAAUGUUUUCACCACAGCCCUAGAGACAAGGAGAGUAAACCCAUAUCCAAGGCUCGAGGAAGCCAUCCCUCACUUAAAAGGGAUAGGGAAAGGCUGCAGUACUAACCACUAGUAGAGAAACAAGGUUUGCCCUCAGAAGUAAACAGGUAGACAUAAAAGGUUUAUUAUAAUCUAAUAAUUUGAUUGGUUAUUUAAAAUAUUUAGUUUGAUUGGUUAAUUAUAUUAGUUUUCUAUUAAAAUUUAAACCAAAAUUUUAUUAUAAUCUAAUAUAAAAAACUAACUAAAAUUUAAAACUUCCAACUUAAAAGAUCAUCAAAAGUAUGAAUAUUUUAAAUGCUGAAUAUUUAAGUUUGUGGCUAAAAUUUUUGGAAUAAAUAAUUCAUACUAAUAAUUUUUAGCAAUAAACAUUUAAUAAAAAUAUUAAAUUUUUUAUAAUUUUAUAUUUUUAAAAUUAGAUUCACACAGUAAUUUAAUUUUCUAAUUUAACAUUUAUUAUGUAAUCUUAUAAAUAAAAUGUUUACAAUUUUAAUUUUUAUGAAAUUUUGUACAUAAAUAUAUUCAUACUUUAAAAUUUUUUUUAUAAUUUAUAAUACAAUAUACUGUAUAUUAAAUGCAUAGAAAUAAUUUAAUUAUUAUAAAUUUAAGUUAAUAUUAUUAAUAAUUAAUUAAAAUAACAAAUACAAAUUUAAAAUGCAAAAUAUAUUUAGUGAGUUUAACAUUUCAAAAUUUUAUUAUUUUGAAAUAACUUUAUAUAUUAAUUUUUUACUGAUUUCAAUUAAAAUUGUAAUAUUAUUCAAAUAAAAUGUCAAAAUAAAAAUGUGCCAAACAGUGCUCAUGAGAGUUAAGCUUUUUUAUAUUAUACUAAAAUAAAGUAAUUAAUAAUAAAAAAUAUAUUAGAGUAAAAUUAAACAAUAAACUAUUUAUUUUUUCCUCAUCUAUAUUAUAUAGAAUUAGACUAUAAUAAUAUUUUUAAAAAUAUACAUUGAUAAUUAUUUAUUAAAUAAGGAAUAUUAUUUAAUAAAAUAAAAAAUCAAUAUUCUACAAUUAUAUUUAUAAUAUUUUAUUUAAAAAAAUAAAAUUAACAAAAUUAAUUAAUUUUUAACUAAAUUUAAUUAAAUAUAAGGUACGGUUAUAAUAAUUUAAUAUCAUAAUAAUGUAAAAGAAAAUUUAUUUAGUUAUUCAAAAUGAUGUAUAAUUUUAAUAUGAUAUUGUAUACAAAAAUUCAUUUUUAUUUAGAGUCAAAUAAAUUCAAUUUAAAAUUUUAGGUUAAUUAAACUAUGUAAUUUUAUUGAGAGCUAAAUAGAUUCUAACUUAAUAUUAUUUUUUAAUUAUAAAAUAUUAUUUUUAUAAUUUAAAACAUUAAAAAUUUAGUAGUUUAAUUAUCAUAAAAAAAUUUAAAAAAUAUAUAAAUAUAAUAAAUAAUUUUUAAAAUUAUAAAAAUAAAGUUUCAUCAUAUAAAAAAUAAUUUUAUUAUUAAAAAAUAAUAUUAUGUUAAAUUAUAACUUAAUUGAUUCAAAAUUUUGAAUUAAAAUUAUUUGACCCUUAAAUAAAGGUAAAGACUUAAUUGAAUUUAUAUUUAAAAAAUUAUUAAUAUAAAAUGAUAAAUUUAAUUUGUUAUUAAAUAAUAUUUUUAUAUGAAAAAUUAAUAAAAAAAAAUUACAAAAUAUGGUGCAUAUAAACAGCUAGUAAUGCAUUUCCUUUCCCAAUUUCCUUUUGUCAUCCUUACCAGCACUUUACCAGCUGGCAGAGAGCCUUCCUUUUCCGAUUCUCUAUUUCCUUUCCUCAUUCCCAAUCUCCGAUCCAUCCCUAAAAACAACUGACGAGAGAUCGAUGAUGAUGAAGAUGCCUUGGAGGAGGAAGAGCAGGAGCUUCAAUCUUCAGCUACAAGGGGCAAUUGGUACCAUUCAAUCUCCAUUCCUAUUCUUAUUUACCAAUUAUUGCCAUUCUUCUACUUCCACACUUGAAGAUGCACGCUUCUUCACAAAUAACUUCAAAUCUGCUUCUUUUACCCGCCUUGAUGAUGCCAUUGCUUCCUUUAAUCAUGUAAUUCAUAUGCAUCCUCUGCCUUGUAGGGCUCCAUUUAAUAGAUUCUUUUCGGCCCUUGUGAAAAUGAAACAAUAUCAUACUGUCCUUUCCAUGUCUAAAACAAUUGAAUUGCUAGGAAUCUCUCACAAUGUUUGUUCUCUUAACAUCUUAAUUAAUUGCUUCUGCCGUUUACAUCUUGUGGAUUUUGGCUUCUCUGUUUUCGGCAAGAUGUUCAAAUUCGGAUUGGAGCCUACCGCUGUGACAUUUAAUACCUUAAUUAAUGGGCUUUGUAUGGACAGUAAAAUCGAUAAAGCAGUGGAAUGUUUCGAUGAUAUGGUUGCACGUGGUUAUCAACCUAAUGUUCGUACUUUCAAUGUGAUAGUAAACGGAAUGUGUAAAUUUGGGAAAACAAAUGUGGCUAUUGGGCUACUAAAGGGAAUGGCUGAUAGAGGUUGUGAGCCAAAUGUUGUGACAUACACUGCAAUCAUUGACGCACUUUGCAAGGAUGAGCUAGUUGAUGAGGCUUUAGAGCUCUUCUCUCAAAUGAGGAAUAAGGGCAUUUCACCUGAUGUCAUCACUUACACUGGUUUAAUUCAUGGUGUUUGCAAAUUAGGCCAAAAGAACCAAGCUUUGGCCUUGAUGAAUGAAAUGGUGCAGCAGAACAUAUUACCAAAUGUUUAUACCUUCAAUGUAUUGAUUGAUGCUCUUUGUAAGGAUGGAAUGGUUUCAGAGGCUCAAAAUACAUUCAAUGUAAUGAUUCAAAGAGGUGUAGAGCCUGAUGUGGUCACCUACAAUUCCUUAAUUGAUGGUCUUUGCAUUUCAGACCAAUUCAAGGAAGCUUUGGCCUUGUUGAAAGAAAUGGUGGGGAGGAACAUAUCCCCUAGUGUUUUUACCUUAAAUAUAUUGAUCGACACUCUUUGUAAGAAAGGACUGGUUUCAAAUGCAGAGAAUAUAAUCAAAAUAAUGAUUCAAAGAGGUGUGGAACCUGAUGUUGUCACUUAUAAUUCCUUGAUGGAUGGAUAUUGUCUGUGCAAGCAAAUUGAUAAGGCUAGAAAGGUAUUUGAUCUGAUGGUGACCAAUGAAAUAGCUGACAUUUUUAGCUACAGCAUUUUGAUCAAUGGAUAUUGUAAGUGCAAAAUGAUAGAUGAUGCAAAGGAUAUUUUUGUGGAAAUGUCUCAUAAAGGUUUAGUUCCUAAUGCUGUUACUUAUUCUACUCUUAUAAAGGGUAUGUUUGAAGCAGGGAGGCCCCAAACUGCACAGGAGCUCUUUAAGAAUAUGUGCUCUCAUGGUCAACAGCCAAAUAUAGUAACCUUCUCAAUUAUGAUUGCUGGCUUGUGUAGACAGGGGAAUCUCGAUGAGGCACUCACACUAUUGAAAGCAAUGGAGAAAAGUCAGCUGAAGCCUAAUUUUGUGAUCUAUAGCAGUAUGAUCAAUGGUAUGUGCAAAGUUGGGAAGAUUAGUGAUGCCAAGGAACUUUUUUCUAGUCUUUUUGAAAUUGGUUUACAACCUGAUGUUUAUGUAUAUAGUGCAAUUAUGAAAGGACUCUGCCAACAAGGAUUAAUGGAUGAAGCGUAUAAGGUAUUUAAAGACAUGGAAAAGGUAGGAUGUUUACCAAAUAAUUGUUGUUAUAAUAUCAUCAUUCAAGGGUUUCUCAAGCAUGAGGAUUUACCAAAAGCAUCAGAACUAAUCAACGAAAUGGUUGAUAAUGAUCUCAUUCUGAGGCUUUUAAAGGUGGGCAAUGAGGGAUCAGCAAACUAAAGUUGUUAUAUCUUGACCAUUCAAGUGUGUCUUGGAGCGCAACUUGAUAAUUACCUUUUUCAAAUAUAAUAGAUAUGUAAUUUAACUAACUUCUUCAAAUAUCAUUUUUAAUUUCAAUCAGCUGUGAUUCUCUUUCACAAAAUGAAAAUUUCUAACACUGCAAAUGACCUGUGGUGGAAACCAUGAUAUGUGUGUGCCUUUCGCUUGAAUUCAGACAUGGACUUGAUCUCUUUGAUAUAAGAUUGUUGAUGAAUGGAGGUCAUGGAUUUCUAAUGAUCAAGUUGCUGGUAAACCCACCAUCUCCUUUACAAUUUUUUUUGGCUGCUACUACAGCCUUAACUCGAGAGCUCAGUCCUAAAAUUGAGUUGAGAACUAAAACUAAUUGGUUCCAUACUACAAUGCUUAAGAAUCUUUAUCUAUUUUUAUUUUGUGCUGAAUGACGUUUUAAAAUGCUAUCAUUUCUCUUGUAGGUACUUGCAAUGAUAUGAUUACAACUUCACCUUCCUAACAAUAAAGGUAUAAGCAAUUCUUUUUUGCUUAAUUAUUAUAUUUUUAAUAAUAAUGGAAAUAAUGAUUAUAAACCGGUGUGCUUUAAUUGAGAAUUGAUUUAACAAUUAGACUACACUAUAAAUGCAGGGUGCAGGAUAUACAGUCCCAGAGUACAGGUAAGAGAAUCACUAGACUUCUACACCUGUUGGUUGGAUGAAAUGUCACUAAAAUUAUAGAUAACAGAAAAUGUUAUGGGAAUUGAGGGAAAAACAAACAUCCUCUUUGUCACCUUUUUUUUUUUUUUUUUUUUUUCUAGUCAUCAAGUUGGGUAUAUAUAUAUAUAUAUAUAUAUAUAUAUAUAUAUAUAGAUCCUUAAUUUCUUUUAUUUUCCUUCAAGUCAAAUUAGUAAAAUCAUUGCAUUAGCAUCUAAUAAUAUGAAGUUCACAAUCUUUUCCAAUGAAAUCAAUUUUUUAACAUGAAAAUUUGAAUUUUAGAAAUGCUUGUCGAAGGUAUAUAUAUAUUCUUCCCUUUGAGAUUCUUUACUUUGUGCCAAGUUGAUUGGAUGUACUGUUUGAGAUGUUAGUUAAGUUAUGCAAGAAAAGUUGUUUUGGUUGUUUCUUUUCUCCUUUCAGCAGUAUAUAAUGAGAGAUUUUAUGUUUUUACCCCUUUUUAAACCUUGUAAUAUACUCAAU